AUCUGAUUGCUUUAUAAUCAGUAAGACCUGCUCAAUGAAUUAAUUCUUUAAUAGCCGCGAUUUACGUGCUAAGGUAGCAUAAUCAAUUGCCUUUUAAUUAAAGGCUGGAAUGAAAGGUCCUACAUAUAAAAUCCUUUAUUAAAAUUAUUUCUUUAAAUUGAUUUAUAAAUAAAAAAGUUUAUAUAAUAUAGGAGGACGACAAGACCCUGUCGAGCUUCACUUUUUAGUUUCACUGGGGAGGUGAAAAAAUUAUGUCUUUUAACUUUCUAAAAAAGAAAAAUCCAGAAAGAAUUAUAACCUAGUUACCGCAGGGAUAACAGCACAAUUAAUUUUAGGAGACCUUAUCUUAAAAUUAGAUUAUGACCUCGAUGUUGAAUAAAUUACCUUUAAGAGAAGAAGCUUAAAAGGAGAGUCUGUUCGACUUUUAAAAAUUUACA
rnacentral:rRNA from 1 species